GGGCAUGUAGCUCAGUGGUAGCGCAGCCCACUGGCCAGGGACAUGUCCUCGGUUCAAUUCCUAGCCUGUCCA
rnacentral:tRNA from 1 species